ACAACAGUGUUCUAAUUGAUCAUAAUAACUACUACGUGCAUCACAGCGUAUGUGACAUAUCAUUCAAGUUUCUGACCUAUCAGCUUUAGACGGUAGGGUAUUGGCCUACCGUGGCUAUGACGGGUAACGGGGAAUUAGGGUUCGAUUCCGGAGAGGGAGCCUGAGAAACGGCUACCACAUCUAAGGAAGGCAGCAGGCGCGCAAAUUACCCAAUCCUAAUACAGGGAGGUAGUGACAAGAAAUAACAAUACAGAGCCUUACGGUUUUGUAAUUGGAAUGAGUUAAGUAUAAACCCCUUAACAAGUAUCAAUUGGAGGGCAAGUCUGGUGCCAGCAGCCGCGGUAAUUCCAGCUCCAAUAGCGUAUAUUAAAGUUGUUGCAGUUAAAAAGCUCGUAGUUAAUUUUCUGUUAAUUUUUAUAUACAAUGCUACGGUAUUUAUAUAAUAUUAACAUAAUUCAUAUUACUUUUUAGUAUAUGAAACUUUACUUUGAGAAAAUUAAAGUGCUUAAAGCAGGCUAUUGCCUUGAAUACUCCAGCAUGGAAUAAUAUUAAGGAUUUUUAUUCUUCUUAUUGGUUCUAGAAUAAAAAUAAUGAUUAAUAGGGACAGUUGGGGGCAUUUGUAUUUAACAGUCAGAGGUGAAAUUCUUAGAUUUGUUAAAGACAAACUACUGCGAGAGCAUUUGCCAAGGAUGUUUUCAUUAAUCAAGAACGAAAGUUAGGGGAUCGAAGACGAUCAGAUACCGUCGUAGUCUUAACCAUAAACUAUGCCAACUAGAGAUUGGAUGUGCUUUUUGGUGGAAAUAAAAAAAAAGAAAACUCGUUUUUUUCCCAUGUAUUAGCCCUCAAAACAAUUUAUCUAAAAAUCGAGAGCCCCUCUCACAA
rnacentral:rRNA from 1 species